AUUGAACGCUGGCGGCAUGCCUUACACAUGCAAGUCGAACGGUAACAGGUCUUCGGAUGCUGACGAGUGGCGAACGGGUGAGUAAUACAUCGGAACGUGCCCGAGAGUGGGGGAUAACGAAGCGAAAGCUUUGCUAAUACCGCAUACGAUCCCAGGAUGAAAGCAGGGGACCGCAAGGCCUUGCGCUCACGGAGCGGCCGAUGGCAGAUUAGGUAGUUGGUGGGAUAAAAGCUUACCAAGCCGACGAUCUGUAGCUGGUCUGAGAGGACGACCAGCCACACUGGGACUGAGACACGGCCCAGACUCCUACGGGAGGCAGCAGUGGGGAAUUUUGGACAAUGGGCGCAAGCCUGAUCCAGCCAUGCCGCGUGCAGGAUGAAGGCCUCCGGGUUGUAAACUGCUUUUGUACGGAACGAAAAGACUCUGGUUAAUACCUGGGGUCCAUGACGGUACCGUAAGAAUAAGCACCGGCUAACUACGUGCCAGCAGCCGCCGUAA
rnacentral:rRNA from 1 species